GAUGAACGCUAGCGGCAGACUUAAUACAUGCAAGUCAAGGGGGUAGCAAUACAACCGGCGCACGGGUGAGUAACGCGUACACAACAUACCAUAUACUGGGGUAUAGCUUCGGGAAACUGGAGAUAAUCCCCCAUAACAUUGCGAGAGGGCAUCUGAUUGCAAUUAAAGUUUCGACGGUAUAUGAUUGGUGUGCGUUUGAUUAGCUUGUUGGUAGGGUAACGGCCUACCAAGGCGACGAUCAAUAGCUGGCGUGAGAGCGCGACCAGCCACACUGGAACUGAGACACGGUCCAGACUCCUACGGGAGGCAGCAGUAGGGAAUAUUGGACAAUGGGCGAAAGCCUGAUCCAGCCAUGCCGCGUGAUAGAUGAAGGCCCUCUGGGUUGUAAAUAUCUUUUAUCUGGGAAGAAACACUUCUAUUCUUAGAAGCUUGACGGUACCAGAGGAAUAAGCACCGGCUAACUCCGUGCCAGCAGCCGCGGU
rnacentral:rRNA from 1 species